rnacentral:tRNA from 2 species
AGGAGUUUAGGUUAAAUAGACCAAGGGCCUUCAAAUCCCUAAAUAGCUAUAUUUAACUCCUG